GGAAGGACUUGGGGCAGAAGAAGGAACUAGACAGCCGAGGCGGAACCCUGCUGUACCUCCCUAGAAACGCUAUAGGAAAGCGUACCAGAAUUUACAGUGUCACAGAACUGCCAGGUACAUAGCAUGGUGGCUGCCACAGAUGGGGAUCUGCUUGUGGUUAGAAGGAUCUGGCAUUAUUGACUGUGGCCAACACAUGGAAACAACCAAAGUUUCCUUCGGCAGAUGACUGGAUAAAGACAAUGUGGCACAUAUAUACAGUGGAAUACUACUCAACCGUAAGAAAAGAUGAAUAUGGCCAUUUGUGACAACGUGGAUGGAUCUUAAGAAUUUCAUGCUAAGCGAAAUAAAUCAGAAAAUGUUAAAAACUAUAUGAUUUCCGUCAUAUGUGGGAUGUAAAACAGAAAACAACAAAUGAACAAACAAGACAAACA